UCGUCAUCACGAGCGCGCGCUCCCGUAGAACCCGAUCAUGAGCCAGUUCACGCGCACAGACUUAUUUAAAGCACAUUCACUCUCAGCGUACAGAAACAACUGGAAUGACACUCGGUUUAUUCGUUUAACUUGCUCUGGUCAGAUGUUUCAGGAUGUUUUGGUGCAUCAUGUGAAACACACACACCUGUGAGAGGAGCUGCUCUACAUGAGUAGUCUGUGGGAGAGGCUCCUCAGUAAAUCCUUACACUGAAGACAGUGGUCUCUGGAGGAAGAUGAUCUGCAGUUCCUCAGCCUCGAGGAAAGGGAGUGUAUUCUGUUCUUUGAGGAGACCAUCGGCUCCCUGGAGGAGGACGAUGAGAGGACGGGACUCACGGUGGGGCGUCCGGCCUCACACACACAAACGGCACGUCAUCACAGCCCUGUAGAUCAUGACAUCAUUGACCUGAUCCACCCUACACACGAUGCCAACAACCAUAAAGACACGCUGCCCUUCA